rnacentral:rRNA from 1 species
AGUGAACAGGGAACAGCUCAAGGUGUAAAUCUGUGCCAGAGAGGUACAGAGUUGUAACCUAGAGGCCUUUUAGGGAAGGCAUAUCUGUCACAUAAGUACCUUGAAAAAGGACGUCAAAGAGGGUAAAAACCCCGUAUUUGGCGACAGAUGGCUGUACCGAAGGGCUCCAAGAGUCGGGUUGUUUGGGACUGCAGCCCUAAAUGGGAGAUAAACUUCUUCUAAAGCUAAAUAUUUAUGGGAAACCGAUAGCAAACAAGUACUACGAAGGAAAGAUGAAAAGAACUUUGAAAAGAGGGUUAAAAGACUUGAAAUCGUUGAGAAGAAAAGCGGUAGAAGAGAAAUGAUGUUAGUAGAGCGUUUAAAGCGUAAACGAGGCUUCUGGGCAGCUAGGAACGUCAAAGGCCGGCUGUUCGUGAAAGUGUGCGUUUGGCCGAUUGCUCUACUAAUGUGCACGGUGGGGUCAGUGUCUAGGAAAAGUGCGUGUUCGGCUCCGGCUUCGGUUGGCAGCUCACGUAACAAACUAGACAGUGGCCUAAGGGAUCCAGAUGGAGAUCGUGCAAAAAAGGCUUCUACUGACCCGUCUUGAAACACGGACCAAGGAGUCUACCCAAUGUGCGAGUCUUAGGGUGGAAAAACCCGAAGGCGAAGCGAAAGCGAGUAUAAGGUGUGAACCGCAAGGGGCAACACCGGCCAACCUUGAUUCUCGAAUGAAGGGAUUGAGCAAGAGCAUAUUUGGUAGGACCCGAAAGAUGGUGAACUACGCUUGAGUAGGGUGAAGCCAGGGGAAACUCUGGUGGAGGCUCGUAGCGUUACUGACGUGCAAAUCGUUCGUCAAACUUGAGUGUAGGGGCGAAAGACUAAUCGAACCAUCUAGUAGCUGGUUCCCUCUGAAGUUUCUCUCAGGAUAGCAGGAACAAUAUCGCAGUUUUAUCAGGUAAAGCGAAUGAUUAGAGGAAUCGGAGAUCAAAGAUCUUUGACCUAUUCUCAAACUUUAAAUUGGUAAGAGCCUACAGUUUCUUAACUGAACUGUGGGGUAGAAUGCGUUGUUCCUAGUGGGCCGUUUUUGGUAAGCAGAACUGGCGAUGAGGGAUGAACCUAACGCUGAGAUAAGGUGCCAAAGUUCCCGCUCAUCAGAUACCAUAAAAGGUGUUGGUUCAUAUAGACAGCAGGACGGUGGCCCUGGAAGUCGGAAUCCGCUAAGGAGUGUGUAACAACUCACCUGCCGAAUGAACUAGCCCUGAAAAUUGAUGGCGCUGAAGCGGGAGACCGAUCCUCAGCCAUCGAAGCAAAUGUGAAGCUCCGAUGAGUAAGAGGGCGUGUGCGUUGUGCAGAAGCCUAUGACGUGAGUCUGGGUGGAACAACGUAUAGUGCAGAUCUUGGUGGUAGUAGCAAAUAUUCAAAUGAGAACUUUGAAGACCGAAGUGGAGAAGGGUUCCAUGAGAACAGCAAUUGGUCAUGGGUUACUCGAUCCUAAGACAUAGGGAAAUUCCUUGAUAAUACAAGAACCUUUACGGUUCGUUGUCAAAAGGGAAUGAGGUUAAUAUUCCUCAAGCUAUUGCGGGUUUUGUGUGGUAACACAAAUGAGCCCGGAGACAUCGGCAUGAACUCCUGGAAGAGUUAUCUUUUCUUUUUAACAGACUCUGGCCUUGAAAUUGGAUUAUCCAGAGAUAAGGCUAUAUGUCUGGCAGAGCAGCUCACUCUAAGAGCUGUCAGGUGCGUUCAUGACGAUCCUUGAAAAUCCGGGGGAGAGGUAAUUGCGCAAUAGAUCGUACCCAUAACCGCAUCA